CGGACGGGUGAGUAAUGUCUGGGAAACUGCCCGAUGGAGGAGGAUAACUACUGGAAACGGUAGCUAAUACCGCAUAACGUCGCAAGACCAAAGAGGGGGACCUUCGGGCCUCUUGCCAUCGGAUGUGCCCAGAUGGGAUUAGCUAGUAGGUGGGGUAACGGCUCACCUAGGCGACGAUCCCUAGCUGGUCUGAGAGGAUGAUCAGCCACACUGGAACUGAGACACGGUCCAG
rnacentral:rRNA from 1 species